UUCUUCAGAAGAAAGUCGCAUAAAUCUGUUGCUAAACUAUCGAAAAAGCUGUCAGCUGUAGGCAUUGUAGAGGAACUGUUUGAAGAAGGCUCAGCAAUUCUUGCUGAAAGAUUGGGGAGUGAGGAUUCAAAUGGUCCAUCAAUGUCCGGCCUCUUCAUCUGUGCUGUUUGCCAGGUCGACCUUGCUGCAAGUGAAGGCAUAUCAGUACAUGCUGGUUCAAUUUUCUCGACAAGCUCAAAGCCUUGGCAAGGUCCAUUUCUAUGUGCUGACUGUUGUAAUAAGAAGGAUGCCAUGGAAGGAAAACGACCAAGUGGUGUUAAAGUCACUUAACUCGUGCAUCGUUGCCAAGUGUGUCUACAAUUUUGUUAUAGUAAUUCUUUCUGAUAUCUGCCUCAUAUCUUAGUUAAUUAAAAAGUGAUUUAUUGAACAUUGGCAUCAGAGCAUACUAUAUGUCAGCCAAUAAUGUAAAUAGGUUCUAUCAAAUGAAGAAGUGUGAUAGUAGUUAUGAGAUUAA